rnacentral:rRNA from 1 species
CUCGCCUGCAUGAAGUCGGAAUUGCUAGUAAUCGCAGAUCAGCAUGCUGCGGUGAAUACGUUCCCGGGCCUUGUACACACCGCCCGUCACACCAUGGGAGUCGGUAACACCCGAAGUCGGUAGCCUAACCGUAAGGAGGGCGCCGCCGAAGGUGGGGAUUGAUGACUGGGGUGAAGUCGUAACAAGGUACC